rnacentral:rRNA from 1 species
GAUGGACGCUGGCGGCGUGCCUAAUACAUGCAAGUCGAGCGAACAGACGAGGAGCUUGCUCCUCUGACGUUAGCGGCGGACGGGUGAGUAACACGUGGAUAACCUACCUAUAAGACUGGGAUAACUUCGGGAAACCGGAGCUAAUACCGGAUAAUAUAUUGAACCGCAUGGUUCAAUAGUGAAAGACGGUUUUGCUGUCACUUAUAGAUGGAUCCGCGCCGCAUUAGCUAGUUGGUAAGGUAACGGCUUACCAAGGCAACGAUGCGUAGCCGACCUGAGAGGGUGAUCGGCCACACUGGAACUGAGACACGGUCCAGACUCCUACGGGAGGCAGCAGUAGGGAAUCUUCCGCAAUGGGCGAAAGCCUGACGGAGCAACGCCGCGUGAGUGAUGAGGGUCUUCGGAUCGUAAAACUCUGUUAUUAGGGAAGAACAAAUGUGUAAGUAACUAUGCACGUCUUGACGGUACCUAAUCAGAAAGCCACGGCUCACUACGUG